rnacentral:piRNA from 1 species
UAGAGACCUAGGGUAGAACCAAACAGUGCA